AUCAAGGGCUUGGUCACUGGAGUGUUUUGAUAAUGGAGUGUUGGAGUUGAUACAGGUGUGUUCAGGUGAGUGUUGGUGUUGAUACAGGUGUGACCAGGUGGAGGUGAGGCCAGGUGAGUGUUAGUGUUGAUACAGGUGUGACCAGGUGGAGGUGAGGCCAGGUGAGUGUUAGUGUUGAUACAGGUGUGACCAGGUGGAGGUGAGGCCAGGUGAGUGUUGGUGUUGAUACAGGUGUGACCAGGUGGAGGUGAGGCCAGGUGAGUGUUGGUGUUGAUACAGGUGUGACCAGGUGGAGGGGAGGCCAGGUGAGUGUUAGUGUUGAUACAGGUGUGAC